rnacentral:rRNA from 1 species
AUUGAACGCUGGCGGCAUGCUUUACACAUGCAAGUCGAACGGCAGCGCGGGGGCAACCCCUGGCGGCGAGUGGCGAACGGGUGAGUAAUGCAUCGGAACGUAUCCUGUAAUGGGGGAUAACGUAGCGAAAGUUAACGCUAAUACCGCAUACGCUCGAGAGAGGAAAGUGGGGGAUCGCAAGACCUCACGUUAUAGGAGCGGCCGAUGUCCGAUUAGCUAGUUGGUGGGUAAAGGCCUACCAAGGCGACGAUCGGUAGCUGGUCUGAGAGGAUGAUCAGCCACACUGGGACUGAGACACGGCCCAGACUCCUACGGGAGGCAGCAGUGGGGAAUUUUGGACAAUGGCGAAGCCUGAUCCAGCCA